AGCCAGCUGCGAUAAGUAGUGUGAAUUGCAGAACUCAGCGAAUCAUCGAAUCUUUGAACGCAAAUGGCGCUCCCCGGUUCUCCGGGGAGCAUGUCUGUCUGAGCGUCAUGCCAAUGACCUACGCACCAAUCGUCCUUGCGAUUGAUUAGUGCGGCGUUGAGACUUCGUGGCCGCCGUCAGGUGCUGCGUGUCUUGAAAUCGAGCAGUUUGUAGCGUGACACAACCACAGUCCGGCUAGCCUCGCACAUCAAAGGGCAGCAAAACGUCUCUAUGCCUACCUUUCGACUGUGCACACAUGGGUGAUGUCGGCUGUGCGUUACUUUUGAAUUUUGACCUCAGAUCAGGCAAGACUACCCGCUGAAUUUAAGCAUAUCA
rnacentral:rRNA from 1 species